rnacentral:rRNA from 1 species
CAGUAGCCGCGGUAAUACGUAGGGUGCGAGCGUUAAUCGGAAUUACUGGGCGUAAAGCGUGCGCAGGUGGUGGUUUAAGUCCGUUGUGAAAGCCCUGGGCUCAACCUGGGAAUUGCAGUGGAUACUGGAUCACUAGAGUGUGGUAGAGGAUAGUGGAAUCUCCGGUGUAGCAGUGAAAUGCGUAGAGAUCGGAAGGAACAUCUGUGGCGAAGGCGACUAUCUGGGCCAACACUGACACUGAGGCACGAAAGCGUGGGGAGCAAACAGGAUUAGAUACCCCGGUAGUCCCUGUCUCUUAUAC